rnacentral:lncRNA from 1 species
CAGCCGAUGGUCCAAAGAGCUCGGCGUACACCAUGCCAAGGCUGAAGACGUCGCUCUAAAUUGAACAGAAAUCAAAUUCCAACACUUGGCCAAUGUAUGGAACCCUCAUGUGCUGCGUGAAUGCUAAGAUGAAAGUACCUUUACACCAUGUUUUUGCAUCAGCAGAAGCUCAGGUGACCCAUAUAGCCGUGUCCCAUACAAUUUUCCCCCAUGAGAACAUGAUUCUGAAGAAAUUAACCCACCUGACAAAAAUAGAUACAAUUAAAAUAAUAUUCAGUUGCACGAAUGUAAACAAUCUAGUUAUUAUACUUACUGUGUCCGAAAUCUCCA